rnacentral:rRNA from 1 species
UACGUAGGGUGCAAGCGUUGUCCGGAGUUAUUGGGCGUAAAGAGUUCGUAGGCGGUUUGUCGCGUCCGUUGUGAAACCUCGGGGCUCAACCCCGAGCCUGCAUUCGAUACGGGCAGACUAGAGUUCGGUAGGGGAGACUGGAAUUCCUGGUGUAGCGGUGGAAUGCGCAGAUAUCAGGAGGAACGCCGAUGGCGAAGGCAGGUCACUGGGCCGCAACUGACGCUGAGGAGCGAAAGCAUGGGGAGCGAACAGG